UACAGAGGUCUCAAGCGUUGUUCGGAUUCAUUGGGCGUAAAGGGUGCGUAGGCGGCGCGGUAAGUCGGGUGUGAAAUUUCGAGGCUUAACUUCGAAACUGCAUUCGAUACUGCCGUGCUUGAGGACUGGAGAGGAGACUGGAAUUUACGGUGUAGCGGUGAAAUGCGUAGAUAUCGUAAGGAAGACCAGUGGCGAAGGCGGGGUCUC
rnacentral:rRNA from 1 species